rnacentral:rRNA from 1 species
CGUGCCACCCCGCGGUAAUACGUAGGGCGCAAGCGUUGUCCGGAUUUAUUGGGCGUAAAGAGCUUGUAGGUGGCUUGUCGCGUCUGCCGUGAAAACCCGAGGCUCAACCUCGGGCGUGCGGUGGGUACGGGCAGGCUAGAGUGUGGUAGGGGAGACUGGAACUCCUGGUGUAGCGGUGAAAUGCGCAGAUAUCAGGAAGAACACCGAUGGCGAAGGCAGGUCUUUGGGCCAUUACUGACACUGAGAAGCGAAAGCAUGGGGAGCGAACAGGAUUAGAUACCCUGGUAGUCCAUGCCGUAAACGUUGGGCACUAGAUGUGGGGAACAUUCCACGUUUUCCGCGUCGUAGCUAACGCAUUAAGUGCCCCGCCUGGGGAGUACGGCCGCAAGGCUAAAACUCAAAGGAAUUGACGGGGGCCCGCACAAGCGGCGGAGCAUGCGGAUUAAUUCGAUGCAACGCGAAGAACCUUACCAAGGCUUGACAUGCACCGGACGACUCCAGAGAUGGGGUUUUCUUCGGACUGGUGCACAGGUGGUGCAUGGUUGUCGUCAG